rnacentral:rRNA from 1 species
AUUGAACGCUGGCGGCAUGCCUUACACAUGCAAGUCGAACGGUAACAGGUCUUCGGAUGCUGACGAGUGGCGAACGGGUGAGUAAUACAUCGGAACGUGCCCGAGAGUGGGGGAUAACGAGGCGAAAGCUUUGCUAAUACCGCAUACGAUCUCAGGAUGAAAGCAGGGGACCGCAAGGCCUUGCGCUCACGGAGCGGCCGAUGGCAGAUUAGGUAGUUGGUGGGAUAAAAGCUUACCAGGCCCACGCUCUGUAGGUGGUCUGAGAGGACGGACAGCCCAACGGGGACUGAGAAACGGCCCAGACUCCUACGGGAGGCAGCAGUGGGGAAUUUUGGACAAUGGGCGCAAGCCUGAUCCAGCCAUGCCGCGUGCAGGAUGAAGGCCUUCGGGUUGUAAACUGCUUUUGUACGGAACGAAAAGACUCUGGUUAAUACCUGGGGUCCAUGACGGUACCGUAAGAACAAGCACCGGCUAACUACGUGCCAGCCGCCGCCGUAAUAC